UCACCAUAUUUGCUGAAUUCCACGUAUCGUGGAAGCGGGGGAACCAAUACGCGGGCGUCUGUCGACGCUUGCCGGGGUGAAUCCGAAAGGAACAGGCCGGGCUGCCGAAGCCGCGUUUCUUUCCUUUUGGUAGGGCUACUCUCUGGCCCGAAUCCGUCAGCUAACCCCGUAAGCGCACAAAGGAGAGAUG
rfam:Paenibacillus sp. D9 Scaffold1, whole genome shotgun sequence.